rnacentral:rRNA from 1 species
GGGUUGUGAGGUUAAGCGACUAAGCGUACACGGUGGAUGCCCUGGCAGUCAGAGGCGAUGAAGGACGUGCUAAUCUGCGAUAAGCGUCGGUAAGGUGAUAUGAACCGUUAUAACCGGCGAUUUCCGAAUGGGGAAACCCAGUGUGUUUCGACACACUAUCAUUAACUGAAUCCAUAGGUUAAUGAGGCGAACCGGGGGAACUGAAACAUCUAAGUACCCCGAGGAAAAGAAAUCAACCGAGAUUCCCCCAGUAGCGGCGAGCGAACGGGGAGGAGCCCAGAGCCUGAAUCAGUGUGUGUGUUAGUGGAAGCGUCUGGAAAGGCGCGCGAUACAGGGUGACAGCCCCGUACACAAAAAUGCACAUGCUGUGAGCUCGAUGAGUAGGGCGGGACACGUGGUAUCCUGUCUGAAUAUGGGGGGACCAUCCUCCAAGGCUAAAUACUCCUGACUGACCGAUAGUGAACCAGUACCGUGAGGGAAAGGCGAAAAGAACCCCGGCGAGGGGAGUGAAAAAGAACCUGAAACCGUGUACGUACAAGCAGUGGGAGCCUCUUUUAUGGGGUGACUGCGUACCUUUUGUAUAAUGGGUCAGCGACUUAUAUUCUGUAGCAAGGUUAACCGAAUAGGGGAGCCGAAGGGAAACCGAGUCUUAACUGGGCGUUAAGUUGCAGGGUAUAGACCCGAAACCCGGUGAUCUAGCCAUGGGCAGGUUGAAGGUUGGGUAACACUAACUGGAGGACCGAACCGACUAAUGUUGAAAAAUUAGCGGAUGACUUGUGGCUGGGGGUGAAAGGCCAAUCAAACCGGGAGAUAGCUGGUUCUCCCCGAAAGCUAUUUAGGUAGCGCCUCGUGAAUUCAUCUCCGGGGGUAGAGCACUGUUUCGGCAAGGGGGUCAUCCCGACUUACCAACCCGAUGCAAACUGCGAAUACCGGAGAAUGUUAUCACGGGAGACACACGGCGGGUGCUAACGUCCGUCGUGAAGAGGGAAACAACCCAGACCGCCAGCUAAGGUCCCAAAGUCAUGGUUAAGUGGGAAACGAUGUGGGAAGGCCCAGACAGCCAGGAUGUUGGCUUAGAAGCAGCCAUCAUUUAAAGAAAGCGUAAUAGCUCACUGGUCGAGUCGGCCUGCGCGGAAGAUGUAACGGGGCUAAACCAUGCACCGAAGCUGCGGCAGCGACACUGUGUGUUGUUGGGUAGGGGAGCGUUCUGUAAGCCUGUGAAGGUGUACUGUGAGGUAUGCUGGAGGUAUCAGAAGUGCGAAUGCUGACAUAAGUAACGAUAAAGCGGGUGAAAAGCCCGCUCGCCGGAAGACCAAGGGUUCCUGUCCAACGUUAAUCGGGGCAGGGUGAGUCGACCCCUAAGGCGAGGCCGAAAGGCGUAGUCGAUGGGAAACAGGUUAAUAUUCCUGUACUUGGUGUUACUGCGAAGGGGGGACGGAGAAGGCUAUGUUGGCCGGGCGACGGUUGUCCCGGUUUAAGCGUGUAGGCUGGUUUUCCAGGCAAAUCCGGAAAAUCAAGGCUGAGGCGUGAUGACGAGGCACUACGGUGCUGAAGCAACAAAUGCCCUGCUUCCAGGAAAAGCCUCUAAGCAUCAGGUAACAUCAAAUCGUACCCCAAACCGACACAGGUGGUCAGGUAGAGAAUACCAAGGCGCUUGAGAGAACUCGGGUGAAGGAACUAGGCAAAAUGGUGCCGUAACUUCGGGAGAAGGCACGCUGAUAUGUAGGUGAAGCGACUUGCUCGUGGAGCUGAAAUCAGUCGAAGAUACCAGCUGGCUGCAACUGUUUAUUAAAAACACAGCACUGUGCAAACACGAAAGUGGACGUAUACGGUGUGACGCCUGCCCGGUGCCGGAAGGUUAAUUGAUGGGGUCAGCGCAAGCGAAGCUCUUGAUCGAAGCCCCGGUAAACGGCGGCCGUAACUAUAACGGUCCUAAGGUAGCGAAAUUCCUUGUCGGGUAAGUUCCGACCUGCACGAAUGGCGUAAUGAUGGCCAGGCUGUCUCCACCCGAGACUCAGUGAAAUUGAACUCGCUGUGAAGAUGCAGUGUACCCGCGGCAAGACGGAAAGACCCCGUGAACCUUUACUAUAGCUUGACACUGAACAUUGAGCCUUGAUGUGUAGGAUAGGUGGGAGGCUUUGAAGUGUGGACGCCAGUCUGCAUGGAGCCGACCUUGAAAUACCACCCUUUAAUGUUUGAUGUUCUAACGUGGACCCGUGAUCCGGGUUGCGGACAGUGUCUGGUGGGUAGUUUGACUGGGGCGGUCUCCUCCUAAAGAGUAACGGAGGAGCACGAAGGUUGGCUAAUCCUGGUCGGACAUCAGGAGGUUAGUGCAAUGGCAUAAGCCAGCUUGACUGCGAGCGUGACGGCGCGAGCAGGUGCGAAAGCAGGUCAUAGUGAUCCGGUGGUUCUGAAUGGAAGGGCCAUCGCUCAACGGAUAAAAGGUACUCCGGGGAUAACAGGCUGAUACCGCCCAAGAGUUCAUAUCGACGGCGGUGUUUGGCACCUCGAUGUCGGCUCAUCACAUCCUGGGGCUGAAGUAGGUCCCAAGGGUAUGGCUGUUCGCCAUUUAAAGUGGUACGCGAGCUGGGUUUAGAACGUCGUGAGACAGUUCGGUCCCUAUCUGCCGUGGGCGCUGGAGAACUGAGGGGGGCUGCUCCUAGUACGAGAGGACCGGAGUGGACGCAUCACUGGUGUUCGGGUUGUCAUGCCAAUGGCACUGCCCGGUAGCUAAAUGCGGAAGAGAUAAGUGCUGAAAGCAUCUAAGCACGAAACUUGCCCCGAGAUGAGUUCUCCCUGAGACUAUAAGUCUCCUGAAGGAACGUUGAAGACGACGACGUUGAUAGGCCGGGUGUGUAAGCGCAGCGAUGCGUUGAGCUAACCGGUACUAAUGAACCGUGAGGCUUAACCUUACAACGCCGAAGCUGUU